CCUACGGGUGGCUGCAGUGGGGAAUAUUGCGCAAUGGGGGAAACCCUGACGCAGCAACGCCGCGUGAGUGAAGAAGGAUUUCGGUUUGUAAAGCUCUAUAAUCAGGGAAGAAGUAUGACGGUACCUGACUAAGAAGCCCCGGCUAACUACGUGCCAGCAGCCGCGGUAAUACGUAGGGGGCAAGCGUUAUCCGGAUUUACUGGGUGUAAAGGGUGCGUAGGCGGGUAUGCAAGUCUGAAGUGAAAGCUGGUGGCUCAACCGCCGAACUGCUUUGGAAACUGUUUAGCUUGAGUGCUGGAGAGGAAGGCGGAAUUCCUAGUGUAGCGGUGAAAUGCGUAGAUAUUAGGAGGAACACCAGUGGCGAAGGCGGUCUGCUGGACAGUAACUGACGCUGAGGCGCGAAAGCGUGGGGAGCAAACAGGAUUAGAUACCCUUGUAGUC
rnacentral:rRNA from 1 species